CACGUAGGGCGCAAGCGUUGUCCGGAAUUAUUGGGCGUAAAGAGCUCGUAGGCGGUCUGUUGCGUCCGCUGUGAAAACCCGGGGCUUAACCCUGGGCUGGCAGUGGGUACGGGCAGACUAGAGUGUGGUAGGGGAGACUGGAAUUCCUGGUGUAGCGGUGAAAUGCGCAGAUAUCAGGAGGAACACCGAUGGCGAAGGCAGGUCUCUGGGCCAUAACUGACGCUGAGAAGCGAAAGCAUGGGGGAGCGAAACAGG
rnacentral:rRNA from 1 species